ACUCGAGUGGCGAACGGGUGAGUAACACGUGGGUGAUCUGCCUUGCACUUCGGGAUAAGCCUGGGAAACUGGGUCUAAUACCGGAUAGGACCAUGCUUUAGUGUGUGUGGUGGAAAGUUUUUCGGUGCAAGAUGAGCCCGCGGCCUAUCAGCUUGUUGGUGGGGUAAUGGCCUACCAAGGCGACGACGGGUAGCCGGCCUGAGAGGGUGUACGGCCACAUUGGGACUGAGACACGGCCCAG
rnacentral:rRNA from 1 species